GACGAACGCUGGCGGCGUGCCUAACACAUGCAAGUCAACUUGACUGAAGGAGCAAUCUGACAGUAGAGUGGCGCAAGGGUGCGUAACGCGUAAGUAACUUGCCCCAAGGUAAGGAAUAACGUCGAGAAAUCGGCGCUAAUACCUCAUAAUGCAGCGGAUCCGCAUGGAUAUGUUGUUAAAAGGGUUUUACCCGCCUUUGGGGAUAGGCUUGCGUCUGAUUAGCUAGUUGGUGUGGUAACGGCACACCAAGGCUACGAUCAGUAACUGGUCUGAGAGGAUGAUCAGUCACACUGGAACUGAGACACGGUCCAGACUCCUACGGGAGGCAGCAGUGAGGAAUAUUGGGCAAUGCUCGAAAGAGUGACCCAGCAACGCCGCGUGGAGGAUGAAGGUAUUCUAUAUCGU
rnacentral:rRNA from 1 species